rnacentral:rRNA from 1 species
GACGAACGCUGGCGGCGUGCUUAACACAUGCAAGUCGAACGGAAAGGCCCUGCUUUUGUGGGGUGCUCGAGUGGCGAACGGGUGAGUAACACGUGAGUAACCUGCCCGUGACUUUGGGAUAACUUCAGGAAACUGGGGCUAAUACCGGAUAGGUGCUCCUGCUGCAUGGUGGGGGUUGGAAAGUUUCGGCGGUUGGGGAUGGACUCGCGGCUUAUCAGCUUGUUGGUGGGGUAGUGGCUUACCAAGGCUUUGACGGGGAGCCGGCCUGAGAGGGUGACCGGCCACAUUGGGACUGAGAUACGGGCCAGACUCCUACGGGCGGCAGGGGUGGGGGACAUUCCAAGCUGGGCGGAAGGCUGAUGGAGCAACGCCGCGUGCGGGAUGACGGCCUUCGGGUUGUAAACCGCUUUCGCCUGUGACGAAGAGUGAGUGACGGUAAUGGGUAAAGAAGCCACGGCUAACUACGUG